rnacentral:rRNA from 1 species
GACGAACGCUGGCGGCGUGCUUAACGCAUGCAAGUCGAACGGUAAGGCCCUUCGGGGUACACGAGUGGCGAACGGGUGAGUAACACGUGGGUGAUCUGCCCUGCACUUCGGGAUAAGCCUGGGAAACUGGGUCUAAUACCGGAUAGGACCACUGCCUGCAUGGGUGGUGGUGGAAAGCUUUUGCGGUGUGGGAUGGGCCCGCGGCCUAUCAGCUUGUUGGUGGGGUGAUGGCCUACCAAGGCGACGACGGGUAGCCGGCCUGAGAGGGUGACCGGCCACACUGGGACUGAGAUACGGCCCAGACUCCUACGGGAGGCAGCAGUGGGGAAUAUUGCACAAUGGGCGCAAGCCUGAUGCAGCGACGCCGCGUGAGGGAUGACGGCCUUCGGGUUGUAAACCUCUUUCAGCACCGACGAAGCGCAAGUGACGGUAGGUGCAGAAGAAGGACCGGCCAACUACGUGCCAGCAGCCCGCCGUAA